rnacentral:rRNA from 1 species
AUUGAACGCUGGCGGCAGGCCUAACACAUGCAAGUCGAAUGGUAACAGGAAACAGCUUGCUGUUUCGCUGACGAGUGGCGGACGGGUGAGUAAUGUCUGGGAAACUGCCUGAUGGAGGGGGAUAACUACUGGAAACGGUAGCUAAUACCGCAUAACGUCGCAAGACCAAAGAGGGGGACCUUCGGGCCUCUUGCCAUCAGAUGUGCCCAGAUGGGAUUAGCUAGUAGGUGGGGUAACGGCUCACCUAGGCGACGAUCCCUAGCUGGUCUGAGAGGAUGACCAGCCACACUGGAACUGAGACACGGUCCAGACUCCUACGGGAGGCAGCAGUGGGGAAUAUUGCACAAUGGGCGCAAGCCUGAUGCAGCCAUGCCGCGUGUAUGAAGAAGGCCUUCGGGUUGUAAAGUACUUUCAGCGGGGAGGAAGGGAGUAAAGUUAGUACCUUUGCUCAUUGACGUUACCCGCAGAAGAAGCACCGGCUAACUCCGUG